UUCCGGCCGCCUCUUUCUUCUUGCGUUUUCUUUCUUCCCUUCUUUCUUUCAGAAGGGGCGUCCUCUUCCGAUUCCUCGCUCGCGGCUGCUAUCCCUGUUCUCGCCGCCCGUCCUGGGGUGCGCUGCUGCCCCCACUGGCCGCUGGUCUUUUCCCUCGAUUUGCCGGUGUGCGCUGCAGGUUCGUUCCCCUUUUCGCCUCUUGGUGUGCUCCUCCGCUGGGGCAGUGGCUUGGGCUGCUGCGCGCCGUUCUUUCGGAGGGCCCAGUGCUUGCUGGAUGGCGGUCCGUGAUGCCCCCUCGAUGGGCUCUUUUUUGUGUGUGAUUCUGGUUGGAGUUUGCCCUGCGUGGCUCUGUCCGUUCUGAUUCAGGUUGUGUUGGUGGGGGCUGUCCGUCCGUUGUAGUCGCCUCAGUCUGUCCGUGCGCUUCCUCUGUUGAUUGCUGCCCGUGAGGUUCGUGCUUCUGCCUUUAUCUAAUUUCUGCAGUUGGGCCGUUCUGAAGUUUGUUGUGCGGUGCGCUGUGAUUUUUGUUCUCUUUUGUCGAUGUACAUUCACGAGCUCAAGGGCGCAAAGGAUCCAGAGGAAGAACAGUUGCUGAAGGCCAAUAUCCUAGGACAAGAUGCAUAGCAGCAGUGGAUAAAGCUUCAGUUUGGGGUCGACAAGCCUUCGUCUUCCAUCGACUGCCUGUCAAUCAACCAUUCGCUCGAGUGCUGUAAAAUGAGUGAAUUCCUUUUUUACCCCCUACUUUCACUUCUUUGACGCAAAUUACCCCAUUUAGUGAGAUUUCUACAAUUUUACCCCAUUCUUAUUAACCCAGCUAAUAAUUUCCACUGUUUUAUCCGAAUUAUGACAACUUGGUUCCGCACGUCAUAGGCGUUCCUAGGUAUCUGUCGUGCGAUGAUAUGAAACGGAUGCCCUUGAGACGCAAUUGGCGCCGGAACCCGACUGGUUCAGCUGAUGCUGCUCGCAGGCAGCCAUGGCCACCUCCCGCUGCAGCUGCAGCUCGGUAGCCGCCUGCAUGCACGUAGAGGACAGCAGCAGGAGGAAGCGUGGUAGAGGCUGGGAGGCCAUGUGCAUGCCGUCCAGGUUGCUUCUAAUUCUAAAUAGGGGGAUUUGCGUGAGCAUAUACACCACUCGAAGGAAGUCGUAACAGGGGGAAAAACAUUGCACACUACUAUGCUCUCCACUAAAUGGAUAUGCAUCUUGUUGAUGAGUUCUACUCCUACUUUAGCUAAGUUGUACCAGCGGACAAAGUAAUUGGAGAUAGAGCAGGCAGCUGUAGCGGGAGGUGGCCAUGGCCGCCCGCGAGCGGUGCCGAGUCAGGCUGCCUCACCAAGCGUGGGCUCAAGGGCCUCCACAGUUCAUCAACCACACGAUGGAUGCCUAGGAAUGUCACUAACGUGUAGGCCCAAACUGUCAUGACGAGGAAAACAGGAAAAAAAAUUAGAUGGGGUAAAAAGUGGCAAAAGUUUCACUAAAUGGGGCAAUUCGUGUCACAAAAAUUAAACUAGGGGGUAAAGAAAAGAAUUUACUCUUAGAACAGAUAUAAUGACUGGUCUUGCUUGGUUUUUCGUGAGUUGGCUACAUAUCUUUUAAUCUAAGAUAAGAGAUAUGGGAUUUUUGCAUGGACACAAUUGUGAGUUAAUAUUAGUGGUAUUCUGCAUGCAGAGUAUGCUCUCCACAACCUGAUUGUUUUUUGUUUUCUCUUAUUGACAAUGGUUUGCAUAAUUCUUGGUCAGACACCAGCGGCCAUAGGGCGCUGACGGCCGCUACCAGCAAAGUCCACCUCUUCUUACCAAGCGCAUGUUGAUUUGUGAGACUGCGAUGUGCCUAUCUUGCUUGUUCUUAGCUUUCAGCAGUCACACCAUCAGGUUUGGUCAUGCUUGCCCUCCAUCUUAGAUGUGUAUGCAGAUAAGUUGCUUGAUGAAUUUACCAGGAGAAAAGUGUCCUCUCUUUUUCCAUUCACUGCUACAACAUAGCAUCGACUUUCACGGAGUGAGCUCUAAAAGGAGUUGCUAGGCUACUACCUCUGACAGGCAAUUUGUGUAUCUUAUGAACUUUUGGUUGUUUAGGCAGCAGGCAUCCAGACUCCACUAGAUUUGCCUCGAUGCUACAGGCGCUGAUGUUCUGAACUUUUGAUUAAAUUUGUGAUUGAUUAGAUGGUGAUGAAAUAAAGUUCUGAACUUUUGAUUAAAUUUGUGAUUGAUUAGAUGGAGAUGAAAUUAGUGAUUUGUAAGACUCUUAUAACUUCGUAAUAAAAUAUGGUUGUGUGCAUCGCUUGAUGCUUGAUGCAGAGGCCGGGAACUCUUCCCCUUUUCGAAAAAAGAAAAAAAAAGAUGGAGAUGAAAUAAACCAGUCCUAGACAAGAGUUGUAAACGUAGGUAAACAUGCUAUGUUUCUUUAACUAGCAUGGUACUAAUUUUUUGUGCAAAUUAAGUAGUACAGAUAUAAAUAUAUUAUCCUAUAAUUUUUAAGUGCAUUUUGCUUGUACCUUCCCUUACAGUGUCUUCUGUUCUGCCAGAGCCUUCUUAAUUUGACAUGCUAAAACUAUUAUUAUUAGCAUGAACGCUGAUUUUUGGAGCAUGUUUUCAUGGAUGAUUAAUAAUGUUUUUCCUGCAAGUAUGCAAACAAGAAGUUAAAAACGUAAAAUGGAGAGGUGGUGCUCCAUUAUUUGGAGUAAGAUUUUGUCUGUACAGACAUACUUUAUUCAAUUAGCUAUUUUUAGCCACAUAUUAUGGCCAUUAGUUAAAUUAGUAUUUCUUGCAAGGAGAUCUAGAAAUUCCACUUGAUUUCUACCAGGUACUGAUGUUAGUACCUCUCUGUUCUGCACUCAUUGUUCAGCUCUUUAAUUUUUUAUAGGUAUAUAUCGACAAUUUGCUAAGGUGAAUAGCACAACAAAGGAUGUUGUAUUGGUGUGUUCUUCUAACCUACAGAUCGGAAUGUACUAAAUGAAAGUAUGGUGCAUUAUGUGGCAAUUCGGGAGCCAGGCAUCAAAAAGAAAGAAGGAUAACAGGUGGCCUGUGUGUUAUAUGAUUGUUUGCUUCCUACUUAGUUGGCAGUGAAUUUUGGUGGCAGGUCCUACCAUGGUGGCUUGGAUUACCUAUGCCUUUCCUGUGGAGCUUUAAUUUGGUGCUCUGAGAGGAUUGGACGGGGUUCUUCUUGUGGCUGUCUUGUUGUUUUUGCAUAGGCCUCUCUCUCUCAGAAUAUAAUGCAGUGAGUGUUGUAACAGGGGAAAGUAAACAAGCAUUGGAGUGAGAAGAUACCGGAAUUGGCCACGAUAAAGAGAAUCUGUCUGCAAUAAAGAUUGCAGAGGUGUUUCAGGUGGCAGAUAUAAUUUGCUUGUCUCAAAUUGAGUGUUCGGAAGUGAAACUUUGACUUGGAUGACUGAAAAAGUGACAACUUUGCCUAAUUUGUUUGUUUUGAAUUUAGUUUUUUAGAUACUUCUUUUCUAUGUUCAAGUAUUUAGGAUCUUCCAAACAACUGCAUGAGAACCAAAGUUGUUUUUUUGGUAGCGAACAGAUCAGUUGUAGAAAUUUUAUGUUUCUCGAAUUUUCGGAUUUAAGCUUCCAAAAAUCUUGCCUGUCUUAUUGUGCUUCUCUGUAUGCAUACGCAGCCAUCAACUUGCAGGGCUUGGUGUCUGUCUCUUUUGUAUUUAUUUUUUUCUAAACAUGGUGCUUUUCACUGAAGUGUAUAAAGUAUUCAAUAUUCCAGGCUA